CGGGCCUUUAAGUCAGUGGUGAAAGUUUGCCGCUUAACGGUAAGAUUGCCAUUGAUACUGGAGGCCUUGAGUGCAGAUGAGGUAGGCGGAAUGUGUAGUGUAGUGGCGAAAUACUUAGAUAUUACACAGAACACCGAUUGCGAAGGCAGCUUACUAAGUUGCAACUGACGCUGAGGCACGAAAGCGUGGGGAUCAAACAGGAUUAGAUACCCUGGUAGUCCACGCCGUAAACGAUGAUAACUGGUUGUUGGCGAUACACAGUCAGCGACUGAGCGAAAGCAUUAAGUUAUCCACCUGGGGAGUACGUCGGCAACGAUGAAACUCAAAGGAAUUGACGGGGGCCCGCACAAGCGGAGGAACAUGUGGUUUAAUUCGAUGAUACGCGAGGAACCUUAACCUGGGCUCGAACGCAGCGUGCUGGUGCCUGAAAGGGUGCCUUCCGCAAGAACGCGCUGCGAGGUGCUGCAUGGUUGUCGUCAGCUCGUGCCGUGAGGUGUCGGAUUAAGUUCCAUAACGAGCGCAACCCUUAUCUUUAGUUGCCAGCGGGUCAAGCCGGGGACUCUAGGGAAACUGCCAGCGUAAGCUGUGAGGAAGGUGGGGAUGACGUCAAAUCAGCACGGCCCUUACGUCCAGGGCUACACACGUGUUACAAUGGCCGGUACAGAGGGCAGCUACCCCGUGAGGGGAUGCGAAUCUCCAAAGCCGGUCCCAGUUCGGAUCGAAGUCUGCAACUCGACUUCGUGAAGUUGGAUUCGCUAGUAAUCGCGCAUCAGCAACGGCGCGGUGAAUACGUUCCCGGGCCUUGUACACACCGCCCGUCAAGCCAUGGGAGCCGGGGGUACCUGAAGUACGUGACCGCAAGGAGCGUCCUAGGGUAAAACUGGUGACUGGGGCUAAGUCGUAACAAGGUAAC
rnacentral:rRNA from 1 species